rnacentral:misc_RNA from 1 species
AACGCACAUUGCGCCCAUUAGUAUUCUAGUGGGCAUGCCUGUUCGAGCGUCAUUUCAACCCUUAAGCCUAGCUUAGUGUUGGGAGUCUACGAGUGGGCCACGUUACCCUGUAGCGUGGUUACCCUGUAGUUCCUGAAAAUCAACGGCGGAUUUACAGUAUCCUCUGAGCGUAGUAAUUCUUUAUCUCGCUUCUGCUUAGGUGCUGUGACUUCGGCCGCUAAACCCCCCAAUUUUUUGUGGUUGACCUCGGAUCAGGUAGGAAUACCCGCUGAACUUAA